UACAGAGGGGGCAAGCGUUAUUCGGAAUUAUUGGGCGUAAAGCGUGCGCAGGCGGUCUGUUAAGACCGAUGUGAAAUCCCCGGGCUUAACCUGGGAACUGCAUUGGUGACUGGCAGGCUUUGAGUGUGGCAGAGGGAGGUAGAAUUCCACGUGUAGCAGUGAAAUGCGUAGAGAUGUGGAGGAAUACCGAUGGCGAAGGCAGCCUCCUGGGCCAACACUGACGCUCAUGCACGAAAGCGUGGGGAGCAAACAGG
rnacentral:rRNA from 1 species